rnacentral:rRNA from 1 species
GAGUCGACCCCUAAGGCGAGGCCGAAAGGCGUAGUCGAUGGGAAACAGGUUAAUAUUCCUGUGCUUGGUGUUACUGCGAAGGGGGGACGGAGAAGGCUAUGUUGGCCGGGCGACGGUUGUCCCGGUUUAAGCGUGUAGGCUGGUUUUCCAGGCAAAUCCGGAAAAUCAAGGCUGAGGCGUGAUGACGAGGCACUACGGUGCUGAAGCAACAAAUGCCCUGCUUCCAGGAAAAGCCUCUAAGCAUCAGGUAACAUCAAAUCGUACCCCAAACCGACACAGGUGGUCAGGUAGAGAAUACCAAGGCGCUUGAGAGAACUCGGGUGAAGGAACUAGGCAAAAUGGUGCCGUAACUUCGGGAGAAGGCACGCUGAUAUGUAGGUGAAGUCCCUCGCGGAUGGAGCUGAAAUCAGUCGAAGAUACCAGCUGGCUGCAACUGUUUAUUAAAAACACAGCACUGUGCAAACACGAAAGUGGACGUAUACGGUGUGACGCCUGCCCGGUGCCGGAAGGUUAAUUGAUGGGGUCAGCGCAAGCGAAGCUCUUGAUCGAAGCCCCGGUAAACGGCGGCCGUAACUAUAACGGUCCUAAGGUAGCGAAAUUCCUUGUCGGGUAAGUUCCGACCUGCACGAAUGGCGUAAUGAUGGCCAGGCUGUCUCCACCCGAGACUCAGUGAAAUUGAACUCGCUGUGAAGAUGCAGUGUACCCGCGGCAAGACGGAAAGACCCCGUGAACCUUUACUAUAGCUUGACACUGAACAUUGAGCCUUGAUGUGUAGGAUAGGUGGGAGGCUUUGAAGUGUGGACGCCAGUCUGCAUGGAGCCGACCUUGAAAUACCACCCUUUAAUGUUUGAUGUUCUAACGUGGACCCGUAAUCCGGGUUGCGGACAGUGUCUGGUGGGUAGUUUGACUGGGGCGGUCUCCUCCUAAAGAGUAACGGAGGAGCACGAAGGUUGGCUAAUCCUGGUCGGACAUCAGGAGGUUAGUGCAAUGGCAUAAGCCAGCUUGACUGCGAGCGUGACGGCGCGAGCAGGUGCGAAAGCAGGUCAUAGUGAUCCGGUGGUUCUGAAUGGAAGGGCCAUCGCUCAACGGAUAAAAGGUACUCCGGGGAUAACAGGCUGAUACCGCCCAAGAGUUCAUAUCGACGGCGGUGUUUGGCACCUCGAUGUCGGCUCAUCACAUCCUGGGGCUGAAGUAGGUCCCAAGGGUAUGGCUGUUCGCCAUUUAAAGUGGUACGCGAGCUGGGUUUAGAACGUCGUGAGACAGUUCGGUCCCUAUCUGCCGUGGGCGCUGGAGAACUGAGGGGGGCUGCUCCUAGUACGAGAGGACCGGAGUGGACGCAUCACUGGUGUUCGGGUUGUCAUGCCAAUGGCACUGCCCGGUAGCUAAAUGCGGAAGAGAUAAGUGCUGAAAGCAUCUAAGCACGAAACUUGCCCCGAGAUGAGUUCUCCCUGACUCCUUGA